UGUCUCAUCUGAUAGUCUACUAUGACUACUGGUUGCUUCUCAAAGGUCAAAUUUUCAUUUAACUCUACUGUGUCUGGUUGCAGCAUAUGAGAAGGAUCCAGAACAUACUUCCUACGUAUAGAAAUGUGGAAUACUAAGUGGACAUGAGAAAAGUUUGGUGGCAACUCUAACCGAUAAGCAACUGCUCUUACUCUGUCUGUGAUCUCACAAGAUCCUAUAUAACGGGGUGUCAAUUUGUCUUUCUUUUCAAAUCUUAUAACUCCUUUCAUAGGAGAGACCUUUAAGAACACAUAAUUACCCACUUUCACUCAGGAAUAGGAAUCUCUUGCAACUUUUCUGAUGGCAUCUGAUGUUCAAACUUUACCUUCUGAUAAGUUAAGCACUUGGAUACAAAAUCCGCUAUGUCUCCCUUCAUGCCAUUUCACCAGUACCAUGGUACAUCUUGGUGGAGCCUG
rnacentral:misc_RNA from 1 species